GACGAACCGUGCGAACGUUGUUCGGAAUCACUGGGCUUAAAGGGCGCGUAGGCGGCUUGUCAAGUCAGGGGUGAAAUCUUUCGGCUUAACCGGAAAAGUGCCCUUGAUACUGAUGAGCUCGAGGGAGGUAGGGGCAUGUGAAACUUCUGGUGGAGCGGUGAAAUGCGUUGAUAUCAGAAGGAACGCCGGUGGCGAAAGCGACGUGCUGGACCUCUUCUGACGCUGAGGCGCGAAAGCUAGGGGAGCAAACGGG
rnacentral:rRNA from 1 species